AGUUUUAUAUUCAAUAAUGAUAUGAAAUUGCAAAUUUCAAGGAAUAGAAAUUCUAUUAAGGCUU
rnacentral:tRNA from 1 species